CCGGUGACAAACCGGAGGAAGGUGGGGAUGACGUCAAAUCAGCACGGCCCUUAGUGUCCAGGGCUACACACGUGUUACAAUGGCCGGUACAAAGGGCAGCUACUUCGCGAGAAGAUGCUAAUCUCGAAAGCCGGUCUCAGUUCGGAUCGAAGUCUGCAACCCGACUUCGUGAAGCUGGAUUCGCUAGUAAUCGCGCAUCAGAAUGUCACGGUGAAUACGUUCCCGGGCCUU
rnacentral:rRNA from 1 species